rnacentral:lncRNA from 1 species
CCAGAGUGCACACAAGGAGGGCACCAGAGCGAAGGAGAAGAGGGCAUCCAAGCGGAACAGAAGCCCAGUGGGAUAGGAAGACGGGCGCCAUUCAAGAGAAUUGAGUGUGCAGUAAAGAGGAUCUGGGCUGACCAACAGUGUCUUCCACAGAUACACUUGCUAAUUCACGCAUGGAAGACCCAGAGUGUAUCACUCCCCUCAACUGCUGGACUACUGUGCUGCAAACUUUGAGUCAGAAUGAUGAGCUUCAGUCAGGCAUAUCAUGGCUCCUGAACAGGAUUUUGAGAGCAAGAUUCUGUGCCUCCCUCAUCCUGCUGCAGCCUCUCAGUGCAUCUAGGUGUUUCUGCUUCCAUUGUACAUAUCUAUCAAAAUAAAAUUGUUAUAAUUAAACAAACAAAUAAAUAGAUAAAUAGAUCUGGUGGCAAAUGAGCAGCAACUCCUCCCCACUCCCAACAUAAGUUAAAGUUUGAGUUUCAGCAACAGAUGUAGGAUCAGAAAACAAAUGUUUAAUAUGUUCUGUUGCAUUAGAGCGGUACAGGUUGGCAAGUCCUUAGAAACCACCUAAUUCCACCCCUUCAUUUUACAGAUAAGCAAACUGAGGCCCAUUGAGGCUU